rnacentral:rRNA from 1 species
UACGUAGGGGGCUAGCGUUGUCCGGAUUUAUUGGGCGUAAAGGGCGCGUAGGCGGUUCGGCAAGUCUCUAGUGAAAUCUCAGGGCUCAACUCUGAGUCUGCUGGGGAAACUGCCGGGCUUGAGUGUGGGAGAGGAGAGUGGAAUUCCCGGUGUAGCGGUGAAAUGCGUAGAUAUCAGGAGGAACACCUGUGGCGAAAGCGGCUCUCUGGACCACAACUGACGCUGAGGCGCGAAAGCUAGGGGAGCAAACAGG